GAUGAACAAAAAAGUAAAAAUGCUUCUACCAUCAAAUAAAAUAAUCAAUUCUAUAACUAAAAUCAAAGCUUGAAAUUUUGAAAAUAAAAAUAUGAAACAAAACAGAAACAUAAAAGAAACAUAAAAGAAAAGUUUUUCCACUCUUCCAUAUUUAGUGUUCAUUAAAGUCAUGAUUUUUCAAUUGAAAAUUUUCCAUUAAUU
rnacentral:lncRNA from 1 species